rnacentral:lncRNA from 1 species
UGGAAUAAGACUUCUUCUUUUGGUCAUCUCGAACCUUGUGCCUCGAGGUAAAACCUGGUCAGACACCAAAACAAACGAACGAAAUUUUUCUAACCCAGUUUUUACAAGAAAAAUUUUGUGAGUUAUUGUAAUAUAAUUCUAAACUACUUCUUUAUUAAAAGCAAUGAAAUAUCGAGAAUGGUAUACCUUGAAUAGAUCAUGAUGAUUUUUUUUUUUGAGAUGGUAUUUCCUUCAUUGUCCAAAUGAUAUCUCAACUAAGGAUUGAUGUGCCUUAUGUCGAGAAAAUGCUGCUAGGGAAUGGUGUACCCUAUAUUAGCAAAGAUAUUAGAGAGUGAUGUACCCUGCACUUAAAAUAAAAUUAACUAGGGAGUGGUGUACCCUAUGUUGGAGAACACAGCUAGGGAUUGGUGUACCCUAUACCGGUAAAGAGACUAGGAAUGGUGUACCCUAUAUUUGGAAUGCUAUCAGGGAGUGAUGUACCCUGCGUUUAAGCUCAAUCAACUAGGGAGUGGGGUACCCUAUGUUGGAAAACACAGUUAGGGAUUGGUGUACCCUAUACUGGUAAAGAGACUAGGGAGUGGUGUACCCUACAAUUUAGCUCAAUUACAGUAAUGAUAUUAAGGAGUUGUGUACCCUGCAUUUAAGAUCAAUUGGUAAUGAUAUCAGGGAGUUGUGUACCCUGCGUUUAAGCUCAAUCAACUAGGGAGUGGUGUACCCUAUGUUGGAAAACACAACUAGGGAUUGGUGUAUCCUAUAUUGUUAAGAAGACUAGGGAGUGGUAUACCCUAUGUCUAGGAAUGAUAUCACAGAGUGGUUUACCUUGCAUUUCAGCUCAAUCUAACAGUAAUGAUAUCAGGGAGUGGCGUUCCCUACAUUUCAGAUCAAUUGAUAAUGAUACCAAGGAGUUGUGUACCCUGUGUUUAAGCUCAAUCAACUAGGGAGUAGUGUACCCUAUAUUGGAAAACACAGCUAGGGAUCUGUAUACCCUAUACUGGUAAGGAGACUAGGGAGGGGUGUACCCUAUGUCUAGGAAUGAUAUCAGGGAGUGGUGUACCUUGUAUUUUAGCUCAAUCAAACAAUAAUGAUAUCAAUUAGUGUUUUAACCUACAUUUGAAAUCAAUUGGUAAUGAUAUCAGGAAGUGGUGUACCCUGCGUUUAAGCUCAAUCAACUAGGGAGUGGUGUACCCUAUGUGUAAAAUAUCAUCAACUAGGGAGUGGUGUACCCUACGUUGAAAAAUACAAGUAGGGAUUUGUGUACCCUAUACUGGUAAUGAGACUAGGGAAUGGUGUACUCAAUGCCUAGGAAUGAUAUCAAAGAGUGGUGUACCCUGCGUUUCAGCUCUAUCAAUAAAGAUAUCACGGAGCAUUUAAGAUCAAUUAGUAAUGAUAUCAGGGAGUGGUGUACCAUGCGUAUAAGCUCAAUCAACUAGGGAGUGGUGUACCCUAUGUCUAAAAUAUCAUCAACUAGGGAGUGGUGUACCCUAUGUUGGAAAACACAGGUACAGAUUGGUGUACCUUAUACUGGUAAGAAGACUAGGGAGUGGUAUACCCUAUGUCUAGGAAUGAAUAUUAAGGAGUGGUGUACCCUGCGUUUCAACUCUAUCAACAAAGAUAUCAGGGAGUGGUGUACCAUGUAUUUAAGAUCAAUUGCUAAUGAUAUCAGGGAAUGGUGUACCCUGCGUUUAAGCUCAAUCAACUAGGGAGUGGUAUAUCUUAUGUUAGAAAACACAACUAGGGAUUGGUGUACCCUAUACUAGUAAGGAGACUAGGGUGUGGUGCACCCUAUGUCUAAAAUAUCAUCAACUAGGGAAUGGUGUACCCUAUGUUGGAAAACACAACUAGGGAUUGGUAUACCAUAUGCUGGUAAGGAGACUAUGGAGUGGUGUACCCUUCGUUUAAGCUCAAUCAUAAAGGGAGUGGUGUACCUACGUAGGAAAAUGCAAGUAGGGAUUGGGGUACCCUAUACUGUAAGAAGACUAGGGAGUGGUGUAUCCUAUAUCUAAAAGAAUAAUAUCAGGGAGUGGUGUACCCUGCAUUUAAGCUUUAUCAACAAAGAUAUCACGGAGUGGUGUAUCCUGCAUUUAAGAUCAAUCAACUAGGGAGUGGUGUACCUUAUGUUAGAAAAUAACAGCUAAGGAAUGGUGUAGCCUAUACUGGUAAUGAGACUAGGGAGUGGUGUACCCUAUGUAUAAAAUAUCAACUAGGGAAUGUUGAACCCUAUAUUGGAAAAUGCAGCUAGGGAUUGGUGUGCCCUAUACUACCACGAUUUUGAUUUUUUUUUCUUUUUCUCUUUCUUCUUAUUCUUUUUUUAUUUAGAAAAUAAGUAAAUGCGGGAAAUAAUUUUGAGAAGACUCCCCUUUUGAGAGUUUUUUUUUGUAGAGCUAUUUUAGUCUUCCCGCGAUUUCUUUUUUGGUUGUACAUGUUUCUUGCAAGGUUGUUUUUGGAUUGCACAUGUUUCAUGUUUUUCAACAAAGAACAAUUGUUAGUUCGAAACGGUGGUUGGUUUUGUGGCUUGGAGUAUUUCAGUCACUUGAUCUCGGCCCAUCUUCUUUUGAUGGUGAUUUCAACUGCAACUGAUUGUUUCCUGAAUACCGAUUGCAUUUCUGGCCCGGAGAACCUUUGGUUUUUCAAACCUUUUCCAUGAUGGCUAGUCAUGUAGCGGGACUUAACCUUUCCAACUUUAUUUUGCCUUUGUGGGCAUUUAACUUUGACUUCUUUCUUCAAAGUUCUAAUUUCAGAGCAUUGGGGAACCUUUGGCUUUUCAAAUUUUGCAUGACGGUUAGUCACAUGGGACUUAACCUUUUCAACUUCAUUUCGCCCUUGUAGGCACUUCAAUUUGAUUUCCUCCUUCCUAGAGUAUUUAAUUUCAAAGCAUCGACCACCAUGGCCAGUCGGGGUUGACUUGAUGCCCUUGCCGAGGCUGGGUGCCUUUUGAAUAUAUUAGCUUGUGUCAAAUGAGAGCCAUGUAAAUCAGUCUUGCCAUCUCUUCUUUGCCUUAGUUUUUGGAACAAAGUUAGAUCGAAAAUAAUUCAAAUAAAAACAAGCAAUAGAAUGGAGAAUGAGUUUAAUCACGAGGUAUCCCUUUCGUGGAACAAAAGACGGACUUAUUUGAGAGUACAUGUGGACUUCAGUGAACACGACAUGCCUUUUGGACUGAAUGUCUGAUCUGUGUGAACCGUCCGACUCUUAGAAACCAUCACAACUUUUGCCUUGAAACAUGAAACCUUGCCCAGUACUGUGUUGAUGUCAGGGCUGUGAGGACCCUCUUUUCGAUCAGUAGCGCCCUUUGCGGGUUUUCACUAGCUGACCUCUCUCAUUUCUUUUCUCAUCGUCACCUUAUAGUUCCCUUUGCAGGUUUUCACUAACAAGACUCUCUCAUUUUUAGUUUCUGUACUCACCAUCGCCUUAAGGUGACCAUGAGAGUUUUCACCAACAAGACUCUCUCAUUUUAUUUCUCUCAUUUUGGUUGCAUCAUAUCCAAGUAAUUGUAUCCUCCAAUUUUGAACAUUCUCACUGAUUGAUCGGAAGGACUUGAAAAGGAUUUGGAUUAAAAGAAUUUGGAUUGAAUUACAACUUUGGAACCUUUCGAGCGAAACCAUUACCGAACCAUUAUAACAUCUGCCCCAAUUUUCACUUUUAGGGGAAUAUGGAUUUUUGUAUGCUGUGACCGAACCCCAGGUGAAGCUGCCUACGUAUCAUUUUCGAAAUUAGGUCGAACAUAGUUCAAUUAACUUGAACUUUGUUUUUGAUUUUCUUCUUGUUUUUCUUUUUUUUCUUUUUUUUUUCUUUUAUUUUUUUCAUUUUUUUUCUUUGUUUUUCUCAGGUGUCAAAGUGUGGAUUUCAUAUAGUAAAAAAAAAGGGACGUGCUAUAUCUGAAACGUACGAAAUAUAGUAAAUAUCUUUUUUUUUCUUUUUAAUUCUUUUCCUCUUUUCUUUCUUUUACAUACAAAGUUCCAAAGAGGGUAAUCAAAGAAGUAUAACCGGCUCAAUGGGUUUGCAAAAGGUUGAUAGUUUUUAGGUAGCUAGAAAAAAGCCUUCUUCAUCCAAUCAGAGAGCAUUAAUGUUGUGUAGAGGGUCAAACAUAGUACCUUUUGACUGCACUUGCAUUGACUGUUAUCUCGGGGAUAUUUCCUUUGAUGUCUCCCUAGUACCACGCUCCUUUUAGCAACACUCUUGUUACAUUGUAUGGCCCUUUUUAAUUUGGAUAAAAUUUUCCUUUAGCUUCUUCAUGAUGUGGGAUGAUACUUUUCAGAACGAUCUGCCCACUUCAAACUUUCUGGGCCGCAUUUUCUUGUUGUAGGCACGGGCCAUUCUUUGUUGGUACAAUUACCCGUGACAAACUGUGGUCAAUCAUUUUUCAUCCGUCAAAGUCAAUUGUUCCAAUCGGGCCUUGACCCAUUCUUCAUCCUUAAUCUCGACCUUUACAAUGGUCCGAAGAGAGGGAAUUUCAAUUUCUGUUGGUAUCACGGCUUCAGUGCCAUAAACCAACAAGUAAGGGCGGUUUCAUUUGGACUUGGUUUAGGCUUAUUGUUCCAAUUCUCUGUUUAUUUUCUUAAAACCUUAUCUUCAUUGCAUUUUGCUUCCUUAUUCAUUAUUUCGAAGUCUGGGAGUGUUUUAGGAUAUAGGCAUAAAGUCCGCAAGCAUGUCAUGUUAUUAAAAUCUGCAUUUAACAGAACUAAAAAGAGAAUAAGAAAAGUGACAAGAUUAAGGAAAACGACAUUCAUGGACGAUGAAAUAUUGAUUUCAUUUAUUUGAAUUUUAAAAGAUAGAAGAGUUUACAUCAAAAAGUAAGGCAAUAAAGUAAAACAUCCGGAUUACACCCUGAAAUAAUCCAGACACAGAUAGUACAGCAAGACCGGCUACCGAGAUUCCCGUCUGACAAUAAACUUUCAUGUUUUGGCGACCAUUUUAGGUUUUUCUUUCUGUUGCGGCAAUGGCUAUAAUGGCUUUCAGUGCCGGAUCAAAUUACUCAUGAUCAUAGAUCAUUCCAACAACUGGCCCAUUGUUAUGAGUGGGCAAAGGAUUGUUCGUCACAUUAGGGGCCUCAUCAUCCUUAAGAACAAUUCUUUUAGCUUCAAUCAAGUCUUCAACUGCCCUCUUGAAGGACCAACAGUCCUUUAUAUCUUGUCCCACUACCCCAGAGUGGUAUUCACAUCUAGCAUCAGCUCGGUGUGAGGAGGACUCGGGGUUUGGCCGGUUUGGGGCCACUGGCUUCAGCAGACCUAGCCUGAUUAACUUUUGAAAACAAACUUGAAUACGAUUCACCAAUAUGGGUGAAUUGAUUUCUUUUGAGAGGAUCUCUUGGACGAGGAUUGUAUUGUGGAUCAUUUUGUUGGGGAUUAUAUGGAGCUUGGUAGGGACAUGCAUUUUUGAGAGGUGGAGCUCGAUUUUGUGGAUAGUUUUACGGUCGUGUGUAAGGUUGCACGUUCAUCACCGCAUAGUGAGGCAGUGCCACGGCAUAUGCAGCAUCAUGAUGCGGGUAGUAAUGUUGUGGGAUUCUGGGUGGCAUAUAUGAUUGGUUGAAUGACCUGUGGGCCCCCUUGAGCUCGAAGCUAGCAUGGCUCCCUCUUCUCUCUUGUUUCUAUUUAUCAAACCCCCUGAACCAUUUUGAACGGUCUAUGAUGUGGCCUUAAAGGCAGCCUGCCUCAAGAUUCGGCCAGUUUUCAAACCAUUUUCGACCAUCACUCCAAUUUUAAUGGCCUCAGCGGACGGCUUCCCCAUAGAAGACACCAUGUUAUGGAAGUAGUCCGACUCUUGGGCCUGUACGAAGACCGUAACCAUUUCUGCCUUAUCCAUUGGAGGCUUUACCUCGGCGUCCUGCUCCCGCCACCUGAUUGCAUACUCACGGAAACUUUUCACGUUUUUUUUCAAAUUGGACAAAGAGUUUGUAUCGAGAGCGAUUUCCACAUUAUACUGGAACUCGCAGGCAAAAUCUCGGGCCAGAUCGUCCCACACAUGCAAAUGAGCGAUUUCUUGAUCCAUAUACCAUUCAGAGGCAAUUCCUACAAGGCUCUCUCCAAAGUAUGCUAUUAAAAAAACAUUUGUUCCACCAGUGGCCCUUAGCUGGUUGCAAUAUCUUUACAAAUGAAUGAUCGGGUCUCCGUGCCCAUCGUACUUUGCAAAUUUUGGCGUCUUAAAGCCAGCUAGUAACUGGACAUGGGGAAACAUGCACAAGUCAAAGUAAGAGACACUCUUUUGGCUGCUCAGGCCCUGUAUAUUCUUUAAACUCUGCUCCAUGCUUUUAUUUUUUGAGCCAUUUCAUCCCACUCGGGAUUUUUGACUAUUCUUUCUUGUUCAACCAGAAACUUAUACUGUGGAGGUUGAGUAUAUGAGUCCGGAGUGACAUAGGUCAUAUCCUGCUGAAAUUGUGGGCCCUGGAAUAUGAAAGUUGGAGGUUCAAAACACGACCUGGGCAUAGUUGGCUAUGUCACAGUGAAGACAGGUGCUGCGGAGAACAGUGUUGGUGGUGCCCUUGAAACCGGUGCCUGGGGGCUAACCACGGAAGGCAUGCCAGGACCGUUAGAUGGCAUUGGAGGGUACCCACACGGGAUUAACGGUUUGGACAGAGGAACUUUGGUAGCACCACCUGACCUUGGGAUCAACUCAUGGAACCCAGGGAUUGCACUUGGAGGUUCCCUACCAUUAGACCAGGCAUCCCACAUUUCCAACAUGCGGAGACGCAAUAUCCUAUUCUCUUUAGCAGUUGCUGAUUCUGGCUGUAGAAUAGCCGAUGUCAGCUAUCCUCAGGGUUGAUAAUUGGUAGAUUGCUUUCGUAGUUCAUCAUAAUAUUUCCUUUGGAUCUUGUGAAGUAAGGAUGGGAAGCCAGAUUACCAACGAAAACCAUCCACCUGAAUAGAACUGGCUAUAUUGCACACACAACAACUUUGUUAGUUUUGAGAUAUUUAAGAGAUAGGAAAUUGCAUGUUGAGAUGCAAUGCACCUAAACAGUUAAACGCUUCUACCAUGUGUUUGCAACGUCCGCGUGUUUCAUCCCGGCUUUUAAUUUUCUGCACUCCUUCUAUUUCUAGCUCUCUGUUGGAUUUACCGCUCUCUUUAUUUUUGAUCUCAUCACUCUUGAGUUUUGCCCUCCUAUUUUGUCACUUUGUUUUUCCUCUUCUGUUUUAUUUUUUGGUUGCUCUUUGGUUUUUCUAUUUUAUUUGUUUACUUUCACUCAAAUUAUUUAUGGCUAUGAUUGCAUCCGAUGGGGAUUGCCUACGUAUCAUGACGCCGCAUGAAUCAUAUUGUUACAUAGUUCUGGGAUACCAGGAACAUAGUAAAUAGGCUAACUCUUUUUAUUUUCUUUUUCUCUUUUUCUAUCUAUAUAAAAAUAUUUGUUUUUCUUUUUUGGGAAUUUUUGAAAGAAAGACUUCUAAAGAAGAACGAAAAUAUUUAUUUAAAUUUAGAUUUCAAUUUGUUUUUCUUUUUGGAAUUUUUGAAGUAAAGACUUCUAAAGAACAAAGAAAAUAUUUUUCGGACUUUGAUUUGUUCUUUCUUUUUCGAAUAAAAGACUUCGAAAAAUAAGGAAAAUAUCAUUGGGUUUAAAAAAAAUUGGUUUGGGAUUUUUUAAGGAGGGACUUCUAAAGAAUAAAUUAAAGGAAAAUAUUUUUGAAUUUUGUUUUUAAAACUUGGGCCCAAACCUGAUGAAGGUUGCCUACGUAUCUCACAUCCGGUGACAAUCAGACCUGCGUAGUUCGGUCAGUUUUUCAAAAUCGAGGAAAAUGACAUGUUUGAAAAUUUAACUUAUUUUGUAACGACCUUCUAAAACUUCAGCAGAGUUUCGGGAUUUUUCUUUCCUUUCUCUUUUUUUUUUUUCAAAUACCAGAAUUUUUAAUGUAACGACCCGAACGGUCGUUUUGAGCCCUGGCGCGUCAUUCAGCGGUUUGAAGCCUUGUGAAGUUUCACUUCAGGUAUUGUGACUUGCACGUGUGGUCGAAAUUUAAUUUCAAAAAGUUCGGAGUUGAUGUAGAAAGAAAAUCCUCAUUUCGGAAGCUUUAAGUUGGAAGAAUUGACUAAGGUUGGACUUUUGAGUAAACGACCUCGGAAUUGGGAUUUGAAGGUUCCAAUAGGUUUGAAUGAUGAUUGUGGACUUGGGCGUAUAUUCGGAUCGGGUUUUGAAUGACCCGGGAGCGUUACAAUGCUUAUUAUAGAAAGUUGGCAUUUUGGAAGAAUUUUUAUAAAUUUGGGUUGAAGUGUAUUUUAAUAUUAUCAAUGUCCGUUUGGGAUUCCUAGCCUAGUAAUAGCUCAGUAUGGUGAUUCUCGUCUUAGGAGCGCGUCCGGAUGUGGAUUUGGAGGUCCGUGGGUCAUUUCGUGGUCAUUUGGCGAAAGUUGAAAAUUUGAAGGUUUUUGGAAAGAUUGAUCGGGAGUGGGCUUUUUGAUAUCGGGGUCGAAUCUCAAUUUCGAAGGUUGGAAUAGGUCCUUGAUGUCAUUUGGGACUUGUGCGCAAAAUUUGAAGUCGUUCCAGAUUGAUUUUAUAUGUUUCGGCGUGAGUUGUAGAAGUUGAAAGUUCAUAAGUUCAUUAAGUUCGAUUUGAGAUACGAUUCGUAGUUUUGAUAUUGUUUGAUGUUAUUUGAGGCCUCAAGUAGGUCCGCGUUAUGUUUUGGGUCUUAUUGGUAUGUUCGGACAUGGUCCCGAGGGCUCGGGUGAGUUUCGAAAAGGUUUGGGUUGUGUUGCGCUCGUUUUUUAUGUUUCAACUUCGUUUCUUCAAGCAUAAAUGGUACCACAUUAAGAAAAUGAGAUCAAAUUUCUAUUUUUAUUGAAGCAUUAGAUUCGUAUCAUAAUUACGGAGCCAUAGCAAAAAGAAUCGUCAAAUUUAAAUAUUGUAUGAGGAAGUUAUGCUCAUUUUAGUGUCUGAGAAGGGAGUUGGUGUUGUUGCUUCGCAGAUGCGAAGUUGGGUCCGCAUCUGCUACCCCGCAGGUGCGAAAAUUGGUCCGCAAAAGCGGAAAUUACAGCUGGAAAUGCGCAGGAGCGGAUUUUUUGUCGCAAAAGCGAAAAUCCCUGAGUAUAUAAAAACCAUACCGCGUUAUUUUUGAUAUUUUGGGCAUAUCUUGAGUUCUAGAGCUCCGUUUGAGGUGAUUUUUGCGGCGUUGUUCUUGUCUCAACAAGGGGGUAAAUAUAUGACCUUUAUUUUGAUGUUUCUCCAUGAUUAUUUCCGUUGGUUAUUAUUUUUAUCCGUGUUAGGAUUGUAGAAAUUAAGAUUUUGAGCCCUAAAGUUGAGAAAUGGUAAAUCCUUGAUUUGAGGGUCGAUUCAUGGAUAUAAUUGGAUAAUUUUCUGAAUAUAGACCAUAUGAGUUAUGGGUAAUAUUUAUUUUUAAAAAUUUUUGGAAUCCGGACACGUGGGCUAGAGGGUCGACUUUAUUGACUUUUCGAGCGGAGUUGGGGAUUGUUAUAAAUUGAUUUAUUAUGAGUGUUAGAGUAUAUUUUUAUUGGUUUGCAUAUUGUUUGACUAGUUUUGGAGCGAUGGGCAUCGAUUUGAGGUGUUAGAGUGGCGUUGGAGCCGGUUAUGGAACUUCAGAGCGAGGUAAGUCUCAUGUCUAACCCUGUGAGGGGGAAACCACCCCUAGAUGAUGUAAUUGUUAUGUGCUACUAGUUGUGGGUGCUACGUACGCACGAGGUGACGAGAGUCCGUACGUAGCUAGAUUUAUGUUAUUGUUCGGGUAGACUUAGGCUCACACCAUGCUAUAGCUGUACUAUUUGAACAGUCUCUUGCCUAUUAAAUUCCUUUAUUUUUUUGUUACGACUUGAGACUAGACUUGUGCAGAGUGGUAGACUCGUUAUUGUAAAGAUCGGACAAACUUUAUGAAUUGCCAUGGUAUAAUUGUACUCCUCCAACGAGUUGAUUUACGUACUCAUGCUACACUUGCUGCACAUUUUUGUCCAGGUACAUAUAUGUCUGGCGGUCUUCUGGGCGCAGAGGCGCAGAUGUUGCAGGGACUUACCGUGAGAUGCAUUUUAUGUUACGAUCCGCAACCUGCAGAGUUUCCAUCAGAGUUAUUUAUACUCUCCUGUCUAAUUUAUAUUCCAGACAGAGGUUGAAUUGUAUUAUAUUUCCUAGUUGAUGCUCAUGUACUUGUGACACCGGAUUUUGGAGGUGCUUAUGGGUGGUUCAUUGUUGUAGUCGUGAACAUAUUAUCAGUUACCAUGUAAAAUUCUAUUUCUUACUACUUAAUUUAUGAAAUUCUGAUUUCAAAAAUAUGAAAAUGAGUAAUUGAGUUAAUCAUCCACUGUUGGCUUGCCUGACGGCGGUGUUAGGCACCAUCACGACCUUUAGUGGAUUUUGGGUCGUGACAUUCAAGAACCGGGUAAAUUUUCUCUCUCCUAUCUUCUCUCUCAUGGUUUUUCUUGAUUAUCUUUCCCUAUUCUAAAAGUCGGUCAACAUGCAAAUCAGAUCAAACAAAUGCACAAGUAGCAUGUAAGAUGCAUUAGGAUGGUCUUUUAUUUUGGGGUACACCUGUCCUAGAUGGACCCAACCCUUGUGUUGAGUCCCCAAAGUCAAAUGCAUGUGAUGCAAACAAGCGUACCUACUAGGGAUCCAGCAUGAGGCUUUGUUCUUCUAAGUUUAAACCUUAAGGUGUGGAGUUCUAGACCUGGCUUACCCGAGUGGACAACUCGAGCCGGGAGGGGGGGCAACGUACCGGGAACCAAAAGGUCAUUCGACUUUGUAACUUAUCUAAUCCUCGUUCUAAAAUUAGGGGUAUGAAACUCUAAUAGAAAAGAAGCCAUGCCAGCGUGCGCUUCCUGGAAGAUAUAGAAGACUCAGAUAGAAGGAGGGUAUUGUAACAGUUUAUAUACAAUUCACGGUAAUAUUAAAGAGGUAAAGAGCGACAUUUAGCACAUUAGGCCCAAACACGUAAAAUCAGAUAAUAUACAAAAUCCAUGUAUAGAAGUCAUCUAAGAUCGAAUUCUGAACCCUGAACCAGAAGUUCUGGGUUCGUUUCCCUAGCAGAGUUGCCAGAGCUGUCACACUUCCUUUUUGCGGGGAAACGGAGUUUUCAAAUUUAAGUAACAUUAUUGAAAUGGGAUUAUUUAUUUUCAUUUUUAAGAGUCGCCCCUUGGAAUAAUCAUUUACGACGUCCCAAGACGCCAUUUAUUUUAAAUCCCAAAUCAAGAAAAGUUUGACUCUAUUUAUGGUCCGCGGACACAGAAGACCGGGUAAGGAAUCCUAUUAAUCCGGGAGAAGGUGUGAGGCACUCCCGAAUUCUGUGGUUUUAGCACGGUCGCUUUACAAUUACACCUGGCCUCAUUGUCUGACUAUUAUAUGUUUUAAACCUAUUGUGCGUUAUUACCCUUUUACCGCUUUUAACUAAUAUUGUGGCCAUUUUAAGUACUUAUAAAAUUUAUUUGAACAAGUUAUGAUGUCGUACACUUAUCAUUUUAUACACAUCGCAAAUCGCGCCGCGUGAAAUACACCCGCGAUUUACGGCAUGUUUACUUAUUAUUAUUUUAAAGUUGUAAGGUCAAGUCACGUGAACGUGCACUUGAAUUUGGGAUUAUGUGUCACAAUUAUGCCACGAGAACCGUACCUAUAACUAUGACGAAUUAUUAGUUAAAGCAUGCCUAAAGCAACUACGAGUAUUCCAAGAUGUUUAUUUUCUAAGAUUUGGGAUUAUUGGAAAGGUCAAAGGGUUAUGAAAUUCAUUCGUGGGUAGGUAAAGCUUAUUGAAGCUAAUUGCUAGAUAUACACAAGAGUAACCCAUUUAAAAAGGACAAUAUUAACUUAACGGUUUUUGUUUACAUUUUUUGUUGUUGAGAGCAUUUGAAUAACUGGUUGUUUAGUGAACCAGCAACCCCUUACACCGCUUGAAAAGUCACUGGGCAUGAUAAAUAUAGGAUUUAAAUGACCCCAAACGAGUAUACAAGUCCAAUUUCAACUACACUAAACUGAAUUCACUUUUAGAGACCCAGAUAAAUCUAGGGUUCUAGAGUAAGCCCAACAGUGCCAAAAUUCGGCCAACAAUACUAAGCAAAAAUAUUUUAUGAUCAAACAGCUUUGUCUCAUACAUAAUCAAAGAGAUCUGAGAAUUGAUAUCAUAAAUUACAAGAUAUGCUAAUCUAAAACAAAACAAACUACUUUCAUGCUUCCGUUACAUAUUCUCCACAAAAGAAACUUCUCCAAGCUAUGGUUUUCACUCAUUCAAAUGGCAUCUCAUUCUACCAAAAAUAAUCAUUGGAUUAUUCUAGCAAAUCAGAAUUCUAUGCAUAUUACUCCAAACGAACAAAGCCACCAAAAAUCGAAGUCCAACAGUUAAAUUUAGAGAUUUGGCACAUGUCAUCAGUUAUGCUUCAAAUUAAUAACACUUGAUGUUCAAUGGUUGUUCAUACAAAUCAAAGAACUAAUCUCAUGAUCACUUUUAUUGUUGUUGUUUAAAUCAUAGUUGAUUUUAGGCAUUAGCUAAAUCAAAGCAUUUCAACAUCAAUUUCGAGUAAACUUCACGAAAUAACUAUGAGAUCAAAUUACAUUACAUAAUCACCACAUUUCAACUGAGUUUACAAGCAUCCUAUUUGUGCCAAAAGCCUGAUCGAGAAUAACAAAUUCAAACAGGUAGCAGUAGGUAAAACUGGACAACAAAAUAACCAAAAUUUUAUUUUUUGAAUUGAAUAGAAAGUAUAAAUUUAAGACGUGUACCUAGCUGUUUAGGAAUUGAUUAGAAAUUGUCAAAUAAAGGCUGGAUGAUAGAAGGUUGGAGCUCAGCAAGGUAGAUACAGCAGAAUCAAGCAGCGAACAACAACAAUGUUUAAAAUACAACAAUGUUUAGAACCCAGGGAGAUAGAAACAAACAACAACAGCUUCGAACAGUACAUAAAUCUCUUUUCUAUCCAAUGUUCUUUUGCUUUAUCUUCUUCUUCUUUUUUUUUGAAAUUUUUGUAUUCUAGAUCUGAAAUUCAGAUUUGAAUUCAGAGAGUUGCUUCCUUUUUGCUCUUGUAAGAGUGAGGUGUGCGCGAGUCUAGAGGAAUGAGAGUAGAUGAGAAUAUGAGUAACUGGUGUGUGUGUCUAUAUGAGUGAGUGUGAGAGUCAGAAAUGCAGAGAUUCCUUUUCAGUUAAUUUCUUUCUUUUGCCUCCCUUUUCCAUUUCUAUUUUACUCUUUAGUCCCUAAUACCUGGUCAUUUCUUUUAUUUCCUUGCAAGUUAGUCCCUCCUAGAAGCUUCCUAAAUAACUAACUAAGAUUCCUUAUGUUUUGCUUUCACAAUUGCCCCCUAAAUUCUCUAUUUUUACCCUUUUCUUUUAUUUUACUUCUUUUAACUCUUUUAAUAUACCUAUCAGAACUCAUAAUAUGGGCCUGGGUCGAACAAGUUCAGGUACACUGCCUAGGCUCAAUUUUACUAACUCUAUCAAUAACCUAAUUAAACUAGCCUAAAUUAACUAAAACCUGAUAAAACAAAGUAAAACAAUAAUUCACCUAAAUGAAAUUGUAAUUUCAUGAUUUAACACUAACAAUAAUUAACACUUAAAGAGGACAUGUGAAUCUGACUAAUUGAUGAUUAAUGCAAACUAAAGUCAUCAGAUUUGAUAGAAUCAUAGCAUGGGACAAAGAAAAUAUGAUAAUCGAAGAAACAAAACUGUAAACAAAAGAAACAUAGAAAUAUACCUAUUUGAGCUAAAUGGGACGCCAAAAGAAAGUUUCGGCAAGUCGGAGAAGUUGUUACACAAGCACUAGCCGGAGUUUCCUCAUACAGUUAGUGUUAUAUGUGACAAUUUCUCUUGCAAGGCCAGGGAAACAGAAUGGAAUCGCUUGAAGAAGAUGCUGGCCAGUCAACGGAUUUUGACCGAAUUCCGGCGGCCAUGAAACGAUGCGAAACUAACUUUAAUCGAAAAGUCUCACGAAACUAGUUGAUUGAUAUAAGCAACAUCGUCGUAGGAGCCCUGGUGUGGUUGAUCAUUAAAAAGGAGGGAAAAUCUAGGGCUUUAGUUUGUUGAUCUACAAAUCGAGAAACUCUAGAGAGUUUUGAGGGGAAUGGAGAAGAUAUAUGAGAUGACAAGAAUAUGGUGGUUGUCUGGUGAAAAUGUGGAGGUGAUUGGAGACAGGCCGUUGCCGUGGGCGAUUUCCGGCGGCGGCAUAGGGAGGAGGUUAAGAGAGGGUGAAGAAUGGGUCUGUCAGGUCGUUUGGGGGUAGGGGCUAGUUCCGAAAUUUAUAAGGGGGGUAUUAUUAG